rnacentral:rRNA from 1 species
UACGUAGGUGGCGAGCGUUGUCCGGAUUUACUGAGCGUAAAGGGAGCGUAGGCGGACUUUUAAGUGAGAUGUGAAAUACUCGGGCUCAACUUGAGUGCUGCAUUUCAAACUGGAAGUCUAGAGUGCAGGAGAGGAGAAUGGAAUUCCUAGUGUAGCGGUGAAAUGCGUAGAGAUUAGGAAGAACACCAGUGGCGAAGGCGAUUCUCUGGACUGUAACUGACGCUGAGGCACGAAAGCGUGGGGAGCAAACAGG